UCCACGCCGAACCUCAACGCUCCAUUGGUGACCUCUCUUGCUGAUCAGUGGAGGCCGGAGAUGCACAAUUUCCAUCUUCGGACUGGGGAGAUGACCGUGACGCUCGAGGAUGUCACCUUGAUCACCGGGCUUCCUAUCGACGGGAGG
rnacentral:rRNA from 1 species